UCUCUCCUCUCAAUCAUUGUUCCAAACACUCUUAAGAACCUAAAUGAAGAUCAUCGUCAACAAUCGUCUUGAUUGACAGUUAUUGUGGAUUUGGAAGAACGAUACACAAAAUCCCUUACAUCAAAGGUAUUUUUAUCAUUUGAGCAUUUGUUAUUUUGCUUUUUAUUACUUUGAUUUUGCAUUAGGAUGUUAUUUGUUUUGAUCGGUUACUGUCUUUUCUUUUGA
rnacentral:lncRNA from 1 species